GACAGAGGGGGCAAGCGUUGCUCGGAAUUACUGGGCGUAAAGGGCGCGUAGGCGGGAUGGCAAGUCGGUCGUGAAAUACCUCGGCUCAACUGAGGAGCGUCGAUCGAAACUGCCGUUCUUGAGGGUUGCAGAGGAGACUGGAAUUCCCGGUGUAGCGGUGAAAUGUGUAGAGAUCGGGAGGAACACCGGUGGCGAAGGCGGGUCUCUGGGCAAUUCCUGACGCUGAGGCGCGAAAGCGUGGGGAGCAAACGGG
rnacentral:rRNA from 1 species